CUUCUGUUUAGUAAUUAACUCAAAAUCACGAACACUUUGUAAUGAUAUGCCGAUAUGCUGAACAUGCCUCGACACUGGGAACCGAGCGAUUCUCUCAAUUCGCGCAGAUGCCCCCACCGAGUUCCACCUCUCCGAGACAACACCGGCACACGGAUAUUUAAGAAGGUCGCAAGCAGAAAUCAGUCAGUCCUGAACGACCGUUCUGGGCUGCAUAACCAGCCAAGCGAAGUGAGCGAGGCAAGCCGACCUGAGUCGCGACGUGCACUGUUUUGAGGUGAUUUGUAAACUUAGGCAGGCCAACUCGAGACGAGACGCAAGGUGUACCGAAGUGAGACGCCCAUCCGGAGGAGGACUUCGCUGGGACGAAAUAGAAUAUUAAAUUAUUAUUUUGCCUUAUAUUGUACAUCAUUUAGAAUUAAUAGAUUUGCUUUGUUUUCAA
rnacentral:lncRNA from 1 species